ensembl:lncRNA
GCUCACUAUAAUAAAAAAUGUAAAAGUCAGACGGAUAAGGAAUCCCCAGGAGGUAGGGGAUGUGUCAGCAGCUGAUUGUGUUCACUUUCCGUCCAGUUAUUUUCAAAUAUUUUAAACAAGAAUUACAGAGGCUACAAUGCAAGGUGCAAACAAGUUACUCUCCAAAAUGUAGCUGCUGACAGCAACAGCACAAUAUGUUCUGACUUUUACAGAAACAUCUUGUCUAUCAAAUACAAGCAAAUGCCUCAAGUCAUUGGGUGGUUCUUCACCACAUAGCAGGACAAUCACCCCAAGCACACUGUCAAAAAUACAACAGAGAUUCAAGAGCCAAUAGUCGAAAGUUCUUGACUGUACAAGUACAUUUCCAGAUUGGAAUCCGAUUGAAGAUAACUUCAUCUUUAAACAAAAGGACUUCAAAACAAAUGACACCUGAAGAUGGCUGUAGCACAGGCCAGGAAGAGGAUCGCCAGAGUAUAUAUCAAGUGCCUGGUGGGGUCAAUACAUCAAAGUCUAAGCAGGGAUGCCCAGACUUCCCUCUCCCCAGAUACUUCUUCCAGCUCUUCCGGGGGGACACCGAGGCGUUCCCAGGCCAGCCGGGAGACAUAGCCCCUCCAGCGUGUCCUAGGUCUUCCCCGGGGUCUCCUCCCGGUGGGACGGGACCGGAACACCUUCCCAGCCACCUCAGCUGAACCCUCUCGAUGUGGAGGAGCAGCGGCUCUACUCUGAGCUCCUCCCGGGUGACCGAGCUUCUCACCCUAUCUCUAAGGGAUCGCCCAGCCACCCUGCGGAGAAAGCUCAUUUCGGCCGCCUGUAUCCGGGAUCUUGUCCUUUCGGUCAUGACCCAAAGCUCAUGACCAUAGGUGAGAGUAGGAACG